rnacentral:tRNA from 1 species
GUCCGUCUGGCCGAGUGGUCUAAGGCGCUGCGUUCAGGUCGCAGUCUACUUCGGUAGGCGCAGGUUGGAAUCCUGCGGCGGACA